rnacentral:rRNA from 1 species
CCUACGGGUGGCAGCAGUGGGGGAUAUUGCACAAUGGGGGGAACUCUGAUGCAGCGACGCCGCGUGGGUGAAGAAGCGCCUCGGCUCGUAAAGCUCUGUCAGCAGGGAAGAAAAGGACGGUACGUGAAGCAGAAACCCCGGCCAACUAAGUGCCCACAGCCUCGGGAAUAAGGAGGGGGCCAGCGUUAGCCGGAUUUACUGGGGGGUAAGGGGGCGCAGAGGGGGAUGCAAGCCAGGAGGGAAAGGCCGGGGGCGAACCCCGGGAAUGCUUUUGAAACUGUGUGGCUGGAGUGCAGGAGGGGCAGGCGGAAUUCCUGGUGUAGCGGUGAAAUGCGUAGAUAUCAGGAGGAACACCGGUGGCGAAGGCGGCCUGCUGGACUGCAACUGACGCUGAGGCCCGAAAGCGUGGGGAGCAAACAGGAUUAGAUACCCUUGUAGUC